AAUCUCUCUAAGUCUCAUCCAUCGACCUUUGUGCUUAGCGCAUGUAAAAUUAAUUAAAAUGUCACGUUUGAAGGGAAAAAACAGAAAUUAUUUGAUAAACCAAAAGAAAUAACGCUUUUGGCUUGGAAUCCUCGAACAUUUGCAAACGCUAGAAGUAGUAAUUUCUUGCCCAACUCCAAGAAAGAAAACUUGAAAGGAAAGUUGAGCACAAAUUCUGUUUGAUUCUCGACCUGGUAAGGUGAAUCUUGUUGACGAGGAAACAAUGAAAAAUCAUCCCAAGAUUUCCGUUGCUUUACACCAACUUAGCUUAUUCAUGGAGAUUUCCUGCAAAUUUUUCCAACUGAUUUAUACUGUUGAAAUGUUCCAAUUCUUUUCUGGAAAGAGAACAACUUUUCUGCAAUUUCAUCUUUCGCGAAAAAGGGUUUUGUUGAGAAAUGACCACAUUGCUUCAUGGGGUUCUCCAUGCCAAAAUACAUGAGAUUGAUAGAUUGCAUUUGGGUUGUGGGUUGCCCUUAUUUAGACAGGAGAUACUUUGAAAAAAAAUUAGGAAGAAGCCUAUAAAUCUCUUUGAUUAGGUCUUCCUUGAGAUAAAUUGUUAAAUGACCGAUUCAAUGCAUUAUUCUAAUAGUUCAUUGAGAAAAUUCCUCCAUUAUAGUGCUAAAUUCGGUUAUACAAUCGGUUUGGAUAAGAGUGGUGUUAUAAUGUUACUCCUAUUGAUGAAUGCUACAUGAUGUACAUAAGCUAGUGAGCAUAUGGAUAUUUAUAAACAAGCAAAAGAAUUGAAAGAGAUACGGUUUUAUUUAUUCGAUCUUGUUGUACGUACUAUAGCAAGAGUACAUACCAAUAUCCAAUACAAAUUAUAGAAGCCCAUUAAUACUCGCAGAUUAAAGCUAGUAUUAUCGGACCAAACAUUAUAUUGACACACGUGCAGGAAAACAAAAAUUGAAGUACACUCCAAGCCAUGACUAUAUAAGUCACAAAUUAACCAUAAUAAAUGACAAGGAAAUAUAACAAACAUUGUGCCUUAGCUUGACAGCAGAUGAUAAUUGCGAAGGCAUUCAUUGCAGAUUUGCAGGCAUAUGUUAUCUGUACAAGUCAACCCAGUUGGCAUAUGUUGACAUCUGUACAAGUCAACCCAGUUGGCAUAUGUUAUCUGUACAAGUCAACCCAGUCAAAGGGCAACAUGGGAAAAAAACAGGAUGACAUUCAUGGUCAGCGUGGUCCUCGCAAGGUCCUUCUUUACAUUUAAAUUCACCAGCUGCAACUUGAUGGCAUAUAAGUUCAUCACAACAAUCCGUUGGAAUUACUAGAGGGUUACAUAUAGAGUCAUAUGCUUUGCAUGUCUGAGCUUCCACCUCAAAGGUAACCAUUUGGAGCAUCACCACUGACGCCAAUUACAAAUCAUAA